rnacentral:lncRNA from 1 species
UGGGGGCAUUAAAGAUGAAGGGCUGAGAAUGAAGAGGGACCACAUAUAGCGGUGGAAGUGGGGCAGAAGGAUGAGUUGAAAUGGUGGUGCAUGAAUCAAUCAGCAUUUUUGACUGAAAGGGUUGAAAUUUUACUAGUUUGGUUUGAUAAAGGAGCCAAUGUAGCCCCCACAGUCACAUGACAUAUGUCAGAACAAAACUGGAGAUUAGUAAAUUCACUGCAACCUUCAACCUUACCUCCGCCACCGUCGGGACGGGCCGCAAACACACAGAUAGAUCAAGAUAAGGUACGGUGGGCCUCCGAUGCAUAUAUACUUGCCAAAAAAUAAAACAAAGGACAAAACCCUCUACCACUUAACCAAAUAUACGCACAUCAUCAACUUUCUGCUUUCUUUCAUCUUAAACCUCUCACUCAACAUAUUGUUUUAGUUUAAACACCAAUUUUAAAUUUUAUAUUAAAAACUUAUAAAAAUAAUUUUAUAGACAUUCGCUCGCCGACAAUAUGGAAAAUAGUCUGUAAAACAAUAACAAAUCUGUCUAGUGGGAUUCUAUAGAUCAUCGUCACCU